GAUGAACGCUGGCGGCGUGCCUAAUACAUGCAAGUCGAGCGAACAGACGAGGAGCUUGCUCCUCUGACGUUAGCGGCGGACGGGUGAGUAACACGUGGAUAACCUACCUAUAAGACUGGGAUAACUUCGGGAAACCGGAGCUAAUACCGGAUAAUAUAUUGAACCGCAUGGUUCAAUAGUGAAAGACGGUUUUGCUGUCACUUAUAGAUGGAUCCGCGCCGCAUUAGCUAGUUGGUAAGGUAACGGCUUACCAAGGCAACGAUGCGUAGCCGACCUGAGAGGGUGGUCGGCCACACUGGAACUGAGACACGGUCCAGACUCCUACGGGAGGCAGCAGUAGGGAAUCUUCCGCAAUGGGCGAAAGCCUGCCGGAGCAGCGCCGCGUGAGUGAUGAAGGUCUUCGGAUCGUAAAGCUCUGUUAUUAGGGAAGAACAAAUGUGUAAGUAACUAUGCACGUCUUGACGGUACCUAAUCAGAAAGCCACGGCUAACUACGUG
rnacentral:rRNA from 1 species